UCACUGAGCGAGGCCAGGGAUUGAGCCCACAUCGUCACAGACACUGUCAGGUUCUUAACCUGCUGAGCCACAAUGGGAACUCCAAGCAAUGGGUCUUGACAGCACUUAAAGGCCAGUGUUUUUUCCCUCCUAGGAUACUUCCCCCCCCCCCAUAGGAGCAUCCCUCGUAGGUUCUCUUUUGGGGGUAAACACUAACUAGUGCUUCACAUCCCCACUGUGUUCCCAGAGGGUAGACCUCCCACUGCAGUAGCUGAGGGUCCCACAACCAUCGGCAUCUCUGGUCAUCCAACCACCUCCACAGCUGGAUUCUGAGCUCCCAGAAAGGAGGUCCCCAAUGUUAUCCAUCGUUGACUCCUUGGCAUCCUGCCCGUUGCAUGUGUGUCGUUAGGAAGACACUCAUUCUUAUUUAUUAAAAGACUGAUCAGAGGAGAAAGGAAGAGUGUCUCUGUGUAACUGAGUGGUUUAGUGAAAAGUUUGCCACUGCGGUCAAAGCAGGUAGGCGACGGACACUGCUGCUGGGGUCUGAGAGGACUUCUGAGCAUCCUGAAAGCAUCCAUACUUUUAACCCCACCCCCUCUAAUGCCUGACUGAAGAACUGGUUACUAGGUUCAAGAGCAUCUUUAAAGCCACAGAUGAAAGCAUUUACCAAUGAAGACAGCUGUCACAACAUCGCCACCCGUCGCUGUUCCUGUUUGAGACACAUCUUGGGCGCUGCACCUUAAACCGAGACCCACUGAACGGAAGGUGUGCUCCAGGCGGACAGUGGCCUCUGUCCCUGCUGUCAUAGCUUCCUCCCCAAAGUAGCAGACGCUUGGAUUUUCUAAGCCUCCUCGCAUCUUCGAAGUCUGCACUGGCCUUACGGCAGUUACUGCCUUUCUCGCGAAGAUGAGGAGGAACCCCUUUGUUGGGAAUCACUGGGACACCUUAUGGUCAUGGCGAGAAUUGCAUCUCAGCCUGGAUCUAAACAAGAGCCCCGCCCAGGCCUUGGGGACACCAGGUGGCCGAGGCUCGCUCUUCUCCAUGGGAAAGACUCCAUGUCUCUUUUUAUUCGUCAUUCCCAGAAGGAUAAGCCUUCUGCUCUGGAAGGAUGCGAACUCGUCCUGUUUGAUUCCAUGUGUGUGACAGGCGACUCUGUUCUCUGCCCCGCCCUGCACCCCCGGGUGUGAGUCCCGAGCCGGGGCCAUGCUCUCCCAGCUCUCCACCGCCCUGGUGACUUCCUCACGCUGGGGCCACCGGCCUUUCUGGUUCCCCUUCGGCAAAUACACUCCUCUCCUCCAGAGACCGAUUUCCACGGAAUCCAUGGCCACAGGGCGCCUUCUAGAGAGGCUGUCUGUCGAGCAGGGUGUGGCAGAAAGGAGGCACAGUCUCAGGAUGACGUUAGAAAUGGGAACAAGACACAGAGACAGCAGAAGAGCCCGUGAACAUGCCAAGUGUUUGAGAACAUUUCUAUUGGUGGAGGGACAGACCUCAGAAAGAUCAGGAGGCCAGACACAGAGCACCUGCUGUGUGCCAGGCUUGAGGCAAAGUGCUGGAGGGGUCGGGGGUCAGAUGGCACCUUGUCUCCAGGGCGUUUGCAGCCUCUCAGUGCACAGAGAAUCACACCAAACAAGAGCACAGCAAAGAACGGAGCAUACGGGCGCACGUCACCAGGGAAAACCAUCCUGUACUGAGCUGGAAACGGUCCCGAGAGAUGACGUCUCGACAAGCAGGUGGGGAUCCAGAGAGAAACAAGCCCAGAGCGGCGGCCGGUUUCAGCCGCAACUUUCAGCCGGUUGCGACAUCCAAGGAAGGAAUUCUUUCCGGGCGGAAGAAGUUGCCUCUCCCCAGAUCUGUCCAGCGUGAGCGGGCAGCAGCCUCAGGGGAGGGAUGGAGAAGACACACGUACGCCCACGUACACACGUGCACACGCACCCUCGCACACCUGCACAGACGCACAUACUGCAAACACACACCCAUGAUCAUGUAGUUACACAGCGGGGCAGUUCUGGCAAGUGGGUCAUUGGAUUUUUGUUCUUCAGUUCAACCCUUCUUUCUAGAAACAGUGACCUACGGGCAUCAGAAAAGCGUCAGAAAAAUCCAGAAAAGGCACCCGCAGCGCUACCUCUAGGAAAAACAAGGGCGACCUUCGGCUCAUCUUUCCUUUGCACUUGUUAAGUGUAGACCCACUUGUACAAAAGCAAUUACUCUCCGUCCUGGGUUUCUCGUCCACUUACCAGUUUCUACCUCAGGUCUAUCCCCAUGUUUCUAAGUAGAAUUUUAAUCAUGACAAAACACCCUUUCAGGUGGCUGCUUCACAAUUUCCCUAAAGGCAUUGAAAUUGUUACACUUUUUCCAAAAAUAAAAUGAGUCACUGUCAUCACA